GUAAGAUUGCACAACCAGCUGGAGGACAGCCCUUUGGGACAUGGGAGAGCACAUGCUCCUGGGCCAGGCCUGGGGCCACUGGUCCCUGAGCAAGUCUGCCAGCCUUCUGAGCAGAGCUGUCCCUGGCUUGGGGGCCUCUCCAGUCUGGCUGUUCCCCCAUGGGGGAGACUUGCCCCUCCAUAGAGAAGCUCUAUAACGUCCUGCCGCGCACUGUGCAGGGAGUCAGUGGGAAGGAGAGUGGUAUGGAGACUGAGCUGCCUCAGUUUGAAUCCCGCCUGGCAGGUCACCAGGCAAAUGAUGGCUGGGUCUGUUGGCAGAUGCGGUGCUCAUCUUCAGCUCCCUCCAAGCAGUGUGUAUUAUACAGUCAAGGUCAUGAUCUCAAAGUGUCAAAUGUCCUGGAAAGAGGUUCAGAAGACGUCUCUGAAAAGAGAGGAUCAGAAGACUUGUUUCUGCUCCUAGCUAGUCACCCAGAGAAUGCUCUUCAGUCUGGACAGGGAAAAAUAACCCUACUGAGUUCAUGCUUGGUGAGAAGAUGCCUGAGAAGAACUGCAGCCUUCAAAAAGAGUUGUACCAGCAGUUGGUCUUUGAAUAUGGACCACUGGACCCAAGAAAGCUGCUGGAUCAUUUAUCAGACAGGUUUUGAAACCAAGAAAGAGGACAUCAUCUGUCUGAGAAGUUAUCAUCUCACUGCCCAUUCUUCCCUACCCCAUCCCUGCCCAACAUGAACACAUUUCAAUCUAAACCUGGAAAUAGUAUGACAAGGUCUAGUGACUUCAAAGUAAAGGCGAACUAAGUUCUCUCUUCCAUUGACAAGCUACAUGUAAAGUUUGUUUCAUGCCUCAGUAAGAUUACUAAAUUCCACUUAGCUUCUUCCAAUGAGGUCUUUCCACACGUGCCAAUUACCUCCCAAUUAAUACAAUCAAGUAACCACCUUAUAAACAACUUUUAAUUUUGAAUGUCAGGUUAACAUUUUUCCUCAUUCUCUUCCACCCAUCGUUUCAUGAAAUUUCAAGGCUUGAGCUUUCUCCACUUCCUCUGUCACUCAGUUUAAGACUAGGCAGGGCUGGGGCAGUGAGGAACAUUUCUGUGAACAGCUGAUGAAGGGCUUGUGUCUGCUUAUUUCUGAAAUGAACUAGUCUCAUGUAAGCAACAAGGUUUAACAUGAUUUUGUGUUUUUUUUGGUACCAGGGAUCAAACUCGGGACCUUGUGCUUGCAAGGCAGGUGGCAGCACCACUGAGCUAAAUCCCCAGCCAAAUAAAUGUGUUUAACCUGAUUUUCUUUUCUUUCUUUUUUUUUUUUUUUUUUUCAGCAACAAGGUCUAUAAGGGCUGGGUGAAGAGUCUUAGCUGUCAUGUCAGGAUUGUAGCUGAGUGACAAUUAGCUCCUGAAGAGAUCUGGUGUCUCCAGAAAACAAAGGCCUUUUGUUCGGGGAGCUCAGAGUUCUUCAUACACCUACACCUUCAUUCCUUUUUCCCUCCAUGCUCCACCUGGGAGGCAGUGAGGUGGGGGAGCCACCUGCACCUGUGUGAUGCUGGCCUCCAGAUGGGUGUGCCCUGCACCUGUCUCUUAGUGCAUUUUUGUCCCAGUGACUGGUUCACCUCAGGUAGAUGGAGGCAAUGAGAAUAGAUUUUAGUCUAGUGACAGAAGACUGGCACCCUUUCUUUUCUUCCAUGAGCUAUGUGACCUUUGCAUGUCACCUAGUUUUCUUCCCCAGUGGUCAAUGGAGAUAAUGAUGCCCAUGUCACAGGGA
ensembl:lncRNA